rnacentral:rRNA from 1 species
GAUGAACGCUGGCGGCGUGCCUAAUACAUGCAAGUCGAGCGAACGGACGAGAAGCUUGCUUCCCUGAUGUUAGCGGCGGACGGGUGAGUAACACGUGGAUAACCUACCUAUAAGACUGGGAUAACUUCGGGAAACCGGAGCUAAUACCGGAUGAUAUUUUGAACCGCAUGGUUCAAAAGUGAAAGACGGUAUUGCUGUCACUUAUAGAUGGAUCCGCGCUGCAUUAGCUAGUUGGUAAGGUAACGGCUUACCAAGGCAACGAUGCAUAGCCGACCUGAGAGGGUGAUCGGCCACACUGGAACUGAGACACGGUCCAGACUCCUACGGGAGGCAGCAGUAGGGAAUCUUCCGCAAUGGGCGAAAGCCAGACGGAGCAACGCCGCGUGAGUGAUGAAGGUCUUCGGAUCUUAAAACUCUGUUAUUAGGGAAGAACAUAUGUGUAAGUAACUGUGCACAUCUUGACGGUACCUAAUCAGAAAGCCACGGCUAACUACGUG